GCAAGCCGCUCAGCGGCUUGGGGCCCCGCGCAGACAGGGGCGCCUGGUUUCAGACAGGUGUCCGUCGAAGCUUGCCACGACAGACCUACUGUCCCGAGGGACGCCUGGGCGUCAGGGAUGAACUCAAAUGCCAGCUCUUCAUGAAGCCUUCCCAAUCCUUCUGGUCGGAAGCUACCUGCUCAUUUGCCUUGUCCUCUGAACAGAAGUGAGACGUGGAAGAUGCAGGCCCCAGAGCCAGAGGGCCCAAAUCCACUUACCAGCUUGAGGGUCUGUGGCAAAGUUACGAAACCAUUCUGUGCCUGAGUUUUCUAAUACAAACCUUGGGCGCAUACUGCUGCUCACCUCAUAGAGGUUUUGGAAAGAUUAAAUAAACUCCUACAUGCUGAGCACUUAGAAGGUGCUCACCCCAUGGCA